AAUCAAGUUCACACGCGUUGACUAAAAGUUUGUUCAAUGAUUUGAAAGCACACAAACAACAACUUGCAACAGAGACCGGAAAGUCUCAACUUGAUGUUUAUUUGGAUGAGGCAAGUGUGGAUUUAAGUUAUCAAAAUUUUGAUGACUUGAAUGUUCUUCAAUGGUGGAAGGAGAAUUGGAAUAGGUUUAAAGAGUUAUCUUUAUUGGCUCGUGAUUUGUUAGGCAUCCCUAUUACUACUGUUGCAUCUGAAUCUGCUUUCAGUAUUGGUUCGAUCAUUCUAAACAAAUAUAGAAGUCGCUUGUUGUCGAAGAAUGUAGAGGCAUUGAUUUGUACUCGCAGUUGGCUUCACGGUUUCAACAGUUUUGAUGUAGUGGGUGAUGAUGAAGAUAAUGAUGAUGGGAGCUUGGCGAAAAGUAUUACAACUGAAGCAUCAUAUGUUCAUGACGUAGAUGAAGAUUGAUGAGUGCAU